GCUGUCGGGGACGCAGCGGCAGAAGCAGCGGUGCACUGAAGGCUGGAAGAGACACAAGCUGCGUUGAAAAAAAGAGGAAACGAAAUGAUUCACGAUGAACAAAGUCUGAGAGAAAAUUCAGGGAGGAAGAAAGCGUUGUUUUUCUUGCUGUUCAGCCUCGAUUGUAUUUCCACAUCAAACAGACGCGGCGAUGACAUGAUUUAGUGCUGAGUGGGAGCUGAGAACAGGCCGCGGCAGCGCGGGAUCGCCAGCAGGGUGGAUCUGGUGAAACGGUGCGCACUGUGCGGGUGUCAGAGACCCGCAGGGAGCUCCCGCACGGACCGGCCUCGAGACGCUCCGCUCCGCCGAACCUCUGCAGAAACAGUGCAGCGUCGCGGCUCCUGCUGAACUCGGACUCAAUUUAGUGUGCUGGCCGGCGCCAGUCGGCUGAUGCGCCGCAACGAGAACAAUCUCCUGUCUCUUUGAAUUUACCCUGAGGUGCUGCAUGUGCGAGCCCCUCCGGCCCCCUCUGCAGCCUCAUCUGCGGCUCCGCUCCACUUCUCCGCCUCGGCCAGGACUCGGUGUCAGAUGUGAAUGUCUUUUUUUUCGUUCUUUUCGGAGAAGCAGCUGCUCUGCUUGGGCCACAGGCGUCACUUAGAAAACAAAAACAGAAACAAAAAGUGAUCAUCUCCCUGAAUUAGACCGCCAGAGACAACUGCGUAUUUCCUAUGAAGCUUUAAACCGAGCCGCGUCGCUGCCGCUUCCGCUAAAAAAAAAAUCACUGAUUAUUGGCACCAAAAGUGUUUUAAAUAUUAUAAAUAUAUGUAAAGCUCAAUUUAACAAAAGAAUAAUCUAUUAUAUUCAAACGCUAUGUUCAUUGUCUUUUAUCCGCUUUAUCCCAGCAAUUCGCAAAUAAAAAAAAAACCCAAAGCGCUUCAAAAGGACAAAAAGAAUUUACUCGCUUAAAAUUGCUGCAGCAGUUACAUAAACACAUGCUCUAGGUGCAUGAAUGCACAUCACCACUGUGGUACAAACUUGUUGCUCGGCUUCUUCCAGGCUUCUGAAGUCAUGUGCAAGAAGCGAGCUUGCGGGCCAGACAGGAACAACAAAGCCAUACCUGUCUGAGUGAAAGUUCUGAACACCGGGAUGGGAUACACAUUUUUUUACUCAUCCCUUUUUGCAAUGAAUGGCGCGUAGAAUCCCAUUACAAAGUAAAAUCCAAGAGGUUUCCUUCCACUUCUCUUUGGGUUAGGCUGCACUGAGGCCGCACCUGACUGUUGGAGAGGCGCACCUUCAGAUCUGUGGAUUGGCUAUGAAGGAGCGGCUGAUAUUUGUUGUUUUCAAAGCUGAACAGAGCUUCACUGAGAGGGGGAAAAAAAAUUAGCAACAUGUGGAGGAGGAUAACGGUUUUUCUGCCGGAAAACUCAGCUGGAUAAUUGUAUCAACAAUGCUGGUGCAAAUUAGUCACCAUUUAUUUGUUCGGUGCCCUCAAACGGCAGAGACAUCUCCAUUACGCGCGAUUUAAAAGUCAUUAAGUCGAAGGAGGACUGCUGGUAAAUCUCGGGGCUGUGCGCUGGUAGAUUAACACAUCCUCUGUGUUGGGGAUUAAUGGAAGCAGACAGUAAAUAUGCUUCUUAGACCCGCUUUUUGGGCGCAUGGGAGCGGUGGAUGCGCAGCAGUGACCAGAGAUGCGCAAAAUCAACUAACCUUCUGAGACUGAUUUUCUUGAUAGGAAACAAUAUGACACAGAGCAAAUUAUCAUCAUGAUCUCACUGAGAGUAAGCAAAUUUGGAAGGUUAAAUAUGAAACAUCAGAUCCUGCUGCAGUCGGAGCUCAUAUUCAAAGAGAAUUAUCUGCUUGCGUGAUGCUUUUCAUGCAGGAAGUUGACAAAAUCUUUUUGUGAGCGUGUCCUUGAUUUGCCCGCUCAAUAAAGCUCAGUACUGUUGCAGAUGUGGAAAUGCGCGUAAAAAGCGCAUUGUCUGCCUCACCGGGCCCCUUGGAUCAACGAUCCGGACCAAAGACGCUCUAAUUACAAUACAACCGGACGGUUUUGCGCCACAUUCGUCCAUAAUUGAGUAUUGUUGUUUUGUUCCUCUCAUAGACAUUGUUCCCUUCUUCCUUUCAUCUCUCCAUCUUCUCCUCCCAUCUCUCUACAUCAUCUCUCCGGCUAUAUUUAGCGGCUAGACUGAGGCCUUGGCGCCAGACCGUUUAAGACCUGUCAAAGUCCCUCAUAUUUCCCCUUGUCACAUGGACCAGCGGCCCUCUCCUCCUCCUUCUCCUCCUUUUCUCUUUUCCUCCUCCUUCUCCCUCCCACUCCGUUCUUUGCCUUCCCCCCUGUCUUCUCCCCUGCUUCAUCUCUUCCUUCUCCCCCCCCCCCCCUCCUCCUCCUCCUGCUGUUCCUGUUCUUUUCUCUGUUUCAUGAAAUCAGCUUGAACUUAUGGAAAAGCGGCAGUAUUUUUUCUUCCAGGGCAAACAGGCGCUCUAACCCUAUAUGGGGGAAAUAAAUGCUCUGUUUGCAGAUCAGUGUGGCAGCUAAAUGAACUCAUCUCUGCAACGAAGCAGACAUUUUAGUGGAAGUGACUUAAUGAUAAAUCCACUUUGAUACAUCUAUCUGUCCGGCGACAGGUGGGACACCAGGUGGGGGCGCUAUGGUGACCUCCAGGAGCCAGAGAAGGGUGACGGAGGUGUCACAUCAGCUUCAGACAGUCUGAGGAGGUCUGAUCAGGUUCAGUGUCACGGAGUGUCAGAGAAGCUCUGCUCCUUCACACUGGCCGAGCAGGAUUCAUUUCAGCCAUGCUCAUUACUGGGAGCGUGAAUUGAUCCCAGUAAUGAGCAUAGAGGUCCCGCAGGUGGAGAAGUCUGUCAGGCAUGCUGAAAUGGAAAAAAAAAAAACUUCGGGGGUUUUCGUUAUUCUUGCAUAAAAAUCAUUUCUUUUAUGAAAGAAAGGACUUUCUGAAUAUUAAAAAACAAACCAAAACAACAUGUUGGAGUUUUUCAUGUGAGUCUAAUUUCUGCAUUGAUCACUAAUUAAAUCGGAUGUCUUCUUUAUUUGUAUCAAUUUUUUCUGGUAUUUAAAUAAAACCAAACUGCUGCUGGGAACCUGUCGGCCUCUGCGAAGCGAUCUAUAAAACAUACAAAUCAUUUUUUUAUUACUCAUUAUUCCGCUCUCUAUGAAUAUUACAAUUUAGUGUAAUGUUCCUUUAAAUAUCUUUUGUUUAAAUGGCGAAACUCGAGCACUAAAAUUAUUGUAAUUUUUUACCUAGUCCCUACAGCCGCAACGGCGAGUUAUUAUAAUUAACAAAAUAAAAAAGACUGGGAGCCAAAUUCUGACUGUCGAGACGUAAAAAACAAAAAAUAUUCCGUGAAUUUUUCUAGCUGUAAAGUAAUGCAAUUAGGAUUGCAUGUACGGACACACACACACACACACACACACACACACACACACACACACACACAAAACCAAAUUGAUCCUAGUCAUCAAACAAUGCAGUCAAGUUCAGUUUAUUAUUGUAACAUUUAAAAUCUUGCUAGUUUUGUUUCGUAUCAGACACCUGGAGAUCGGCGUCAAUCCUAAAAAAUAUGACAAUAUGAGAAAAUGCAAUGAAAAAAAAAAUAUGUCCUUCGAAUUGCAGGAAAUUUUCUGCUGUGGUCCAACUAACUUAAACAUGUAGGUCAGGAGUCAGCAGCCUCGUUACUCCUGCUUCCUGCUUGUGUUGAGCACCAAACCGAUGGGUCCCUUUAAAAAUAGCAGAUUUAGAGGUUUUCUGACUAGAAACUAAAUGGACAUUUUCUUAAUAAGUGUGUUGACAAUAGAAGGAAAUACAAAAUCAUUUGUCUUAGUUAAGUUUUAAGACUAAGAAAAACAUCAAGAAUUCAUUUUAAAAAAAUAUGUUUAUGAACAAAAAAUCUAGGGAGCCCAGUUAAAUAGAUAAAGCUGGAUAAAAAGACAGAAAACUUUUAAAGCUAACCUUUUUCACUGUCUUUACAGAAAUAUUGCUUAUUUUUGUCUCAUUUGAGGUCAGUUAUUAUGGACCCCAACGGAGAUGCUGAAGAAACACAUGCAGCUGUCAAGCUGCAGGUUGCAGACCCUCAGUGGAGGUGAACUGUAGGAAUCAUUGAAGACAGACAGACAGGUGUUCUGUUGAGCUGCAGGGGAAGAGAAGUUUCCUCUAGAGAAUUUCAGCUCCCAGGGUGCACUGGUUCCGGUCCAGGGUGAGAGCUGCCACAGACAUCCUCUGAGUUUCUUCAGGAUGAACUGGCAGAAGACCGCAGCAAGAAACCCAACCUGGCAAUACCUCCUCUGCAGGAGUCCCUCUCUUCGAACAAGUCAGACUGGAAAUCACUACUCUCAGAAGAGCACAAGCACAGAUUUUUAUUACAAUGUUUCAGGCACUGUGUUUUAAAUAGAUACUUUCUUUCCACUGUGGCUCCAGUCAAGAUGCCUUUAUAAUUUAUUGAGAUUAAAUCCAGCAAACCGAUUGCACUGUUCAUCUGUCUGAAGGUUUGGAGUUCAGUGUUUUAUUUUGUUGAUGUUUGAACAAAGGACUUCUGGGAUUUGAAGUUGAGCUGAUUAAAAAACAAAUAAACAAGA